rnacentral:rRNA from 1 species
UCGGAAUUGCUAGUAAUCGCAGAUCAGCAUGCUGCGGUGAAUACGUUCCCGGGCCUUGUACACACCGCCCGUCACACCAUGGGAGUCGGUAACACCCGAAGCCUGUAGUCUAACCGCAAGGAGGACGCAGUCGAAGGUGGGAUUGAUGACUGGGGUGAAGUCGUAACAAGGUAUC